rnacentral:rRNA from 1 species
GAUGAACGCUGGCGGCAUGCCUAAGACAUGCAAGUCGAACGGAGUGGCCCAUUGAAGACGGAGUGCUUGCACAAAGUUGGAUUUGGAUUUCCACUCAGUGGCAGACGGGUGAGUAACACGUGGGUAACCUACCUCAGAGACUGGGAUAACAAUUAGAAAUGAUUGCUAAUACCGGAUGAUUCACAGAUACAUAAGUAACUGUGCUAAAAGGAGCUUCGGCUUCACUUUGAGAUGGGCUUGCGGUGUAUUAGCUAGUUGUGGGGUAAUGGCCUACCAAGGCAACGAUGCAUAUCCGAGCUGAGAGGCUGAUCGGACACAUUGGAACUGAGACACGGUCCAGACUCCUACGGAGACAGCAGUUAGGAAUAUUCGUCAAUGGGGGAAACCCUGAACGAGCAAUGCCGCGUGAAGGAUGACGGGUCCUAUGGAUUGUAAAC